AAGUGUGACGAGGUAAGUAGGAUACUUCCAGACGCGCAGAAUAAUAUAUCCUUCUCGUAUGUUUGUUUUCAUAAUUCAAUUUGCUACUUUUUAAACGUCAAAUGUAUUUAUGUACUGAAAGGAGGUGGUUAUUAUUAUUUGUAACUCAAAACAAAACAUAUUUUUUAAUUUUUUUUUAUUUUCAGAUUAUUAUGUACUUCAGUCGUAUCAAAGUGCGUCAUCGUUUUAAAAAUGGAAUAAAGCACAAUUAUUUCAAAUGAUGUUUCGCCUCUCACAAAUGGGAAUAGCAAGAGUAAAACAACGCUGUCGCCGUCGAAUGCUAUCAACCAGACUGCAAAUGGAAUUGUAUACAAUAAAGAGUAACAUAAACAACACUGAAACGGAAAACCAACCACGAGAGCAGCAGUAUCAGGAAGAGGAGAAUUCUAUGAUGAUCCUAAUCGGAGCAAAUCUUCAUUCGAAAAGGUUCCUCUACACACAGCCUUCUAGUAUAUUUUGGCUUUUACCUGCUUAUGAUAUUGGGCUACAUCAAUCAAUUUAUGUGUGCCCCAAAAGAGCUAAAGAAAAUAAUAGAGAGGGCUAUGUUACGCUAUACGAUACCUUCGAGAAUUCUAUUCACGGUAUGUCUAUCGGAAGGUCCGAGAUUGCUGGGAUUCCCCAAUUUGCAGUGUCCCUGGGGGGAGGCAACUCUCAAAGAUCGCAUAACCAAGGAUUACGGUUGGACAUUUGAGUUCACUGGAAAGAAACAAGAUGCUUGAACAGCGUUGCAGAACAGACGGCUAGGCUUUAGGCAGUCCCCGUUGUGAAGUGUGUUGGAGUAUUCUACUGUCCGAAGUUAUUGCAUUGAUGAAGAAAUACAAACCUUAUUUGUAUUUGUAUGAGACGCAUAGUGUGGUAGCGAUGAGAGCAAAUGGUCGCGGUAUUGUCGACUAUUAUGGCGCCGAUCCGAAAGAUGUUGAUAUUCUAAUGGGAAUAUUUAAAAAGAGCUUUGGCAGUGCUGGUGGUUAUAUUGCUGGAACAAAGAAACUAAUUGAUUGAAACAACUAGCUCGGAAUACACCAUAUUUCCGACGACGAUUGGCCCAAUUAGGUGCCAUUACCUAUGACCAUGAAGAUUCUUCUGUUGUACCGAUGCUCGUCUAUCUUUUUUCCAAAAUUGGAGCUGUAAGUCGUACACAAACUUUCCGUAAGGUAGCGGUUGUUGGAGUUGGGUUUCCUGCCACUCCAAUUAUGGAAGGACGUACAUAUACGCUUAAUAGCAGUUUGAUUAUGCCUUACAAGUGAUUCAGUAAUCAGAUUGCCUAAAGUAUUCAUGUAAAGUAAGAGAUUCUAAUCCGAUUAUUUAUUAAGUUAAAAGUAAUAAAUAAAUAAUAAUAAAUAAAUGAAUAAGGUCAUUUUAUAAUUCGUUUAAUACGAAUUUCAUUUAUUUGAUUUAUUUUCCCAUAUACAUAUAUAUAAGUAUAAAGUUAGUUACUAAAGAUCUAUUAUAAUAUUUCUAUCACUAAUAAUAAAUAAGUAAAGCAAACUUGAAAGAUGUUUUAUUUUCAUCGCAGUGUUAAAAAGCGUUUUGGUAACCGAAAGGAAACCAAAUAAAAGGAGAAAUCGCAGUCGUGUAGUAGGCAUUAUAUUGUGGGUGCAUUUUGGUUUCGAUAUUCGUUUAAUAUGGUUUUAGAAAUAACCAAUGAUCAUCAUGAUCAUCAAAACUUCUGUUGCUCAUUCGGAAGUAAUUGAAGAACUUGCUUGGGUGGGAUCGGAGGUCUAGAUAAAUUUUUUGGAAUUGCCCUUUUACAAGGCGUUGUUAGUUCAACGGGUGAACCCAAUAUUGCCUUUUGAUUGCAGGUUUAUUCCUUCUUUUUAAUUCAAACGCACAUAUCAAUGCCAUUUCGUAAAAAUCCAUGCCUUGAAA